rnacentral:misc_RNA from 1 species
AACGCACAUUGCGCCCUCUGGUAUUCCGGAGGGCAUGCCUGUUCGAGCGUCAUUACACACCUCAAGCAUUGCUUGGUAUUGGGCCACUGCCUUCAACGGCUCGCCCGAAAAACAGUGGCAGUCCAGUGAGACUUCGGGCGUAGUACGAUUUUCAUCCCGUCAUUGAAGUUCAUCGCUUGGGCCAGCCAAUAACCCACUAUCUUUAAAACGAUUGACCUCGGAUCAGGUAGGGAUACCCGCUGAACUUAA